rnacentral:tRNA from 1 species
GCGGUCGUGGCGGAAUUGGUAGACGCGCAGCGUUGAGGGCGCUGUAGGAGCAAUCCUGUGGAAGUUCAAGUCUUCUCGACCGCACCA